rnacentral:tRNA from 1 species
GCUCCAGUAGCUCAGUAGGUUAGAGCACUCGGCUUAUACCCAAGCGGUCGGCGGUUCAAGUCCGUCCUGGAGCA